rnacentral:rRNA from 1 species
GACGAACGCUGGCGGCGUGCCUAAUACAUGCAAGUAGAACGCACAGUUUAUACCGUAGCUUGCUACACCAUAGACUGUGAGUUGCGAACGGGUGAGUAACGCGUAGGUAACCUGCCUGGUAGCGGGGGAUAACUAUUGGAAACGAUAGCUAAUACCGCAUAAUAUUAAUUAUUGCAUGAUAAUUAAUUGAAAGGUGCAAUUGCACCACUACCAGAUGGACCUGCGUUGUAUUAGCUAGUAGGUGAGGUAACGGCUCACCUAGGCGACGAUACAUAGCCGACCUGAGAGGGUGAUCGGCCACACUGGGACUGAGACACGGCCCAGACUCCUACGGGAGGCAGCAGUAGGGAAUCUUCGGCAAUGGACGAAAGUCUGACCGAGCAACGCCGCGUGAGGGAAGAAGGUUUUCGGAUCGUAAAGCUCUGUUGUAAGAGAAGAACGGGUGUGAGAGUGGAAAGUUCACACUGUGACGGUAUCUUAACAGAAAGGGACGGCUAACUACGUG